GAGUUUGAUCGUGGCUCAGAAUCAACGCUGGCGGCGUGCCUAACACAUGCAAGUCGAACGCGGUUGCCCCGCAAGGGGUAACUGAGUGGCGAACGGGUGAGUAACACGUGGGUGACCUACCCUCGAGUGGGGGAUAACAUCCCGAAAGGGGUGCUAAUACCGCAUGACAUCCUGUCUUUGAACAGAUGGACAUUAAAGCUGGGGAUCGCAAGACCUGGCGCUCGUGGAGGGGCCCGCGCCCGAUUAGCUAGUUGGUGAGGUAACGGCUCACCAAGGCGACGAUCGGUAUCCGGCCUGAGAGGGCGGACGGACACACUGGGACUGAGACACGGCCCAGACUCCUACGGGAGGCAGCAGUGGGAAUUGUUCGCAAUGGGCGCAAGCCUGACGACGCAACGCCGCGUGGAGGAUGAAGAUCUUCGGGUCGUAAACUCCUUUCGAUCGGGACGAAUGGCUGGUGGGCGAAGUACUCCAUCAGAAUGACGGUACCGAGAGAAGAAGCCCCGGCUAACUCCGUGCCAGCAGCCGC
rnacentral:rRNA from 1 species